UCUUAAAAGACAUCAUUUGUGGCCUUCUUGGGACACUGAGGAGGUCUUAAUUCCUUUGCUUAUCAAUCAUAUGUCUCAGGACCCUUUCAGACAUUGAGGGUGUGUGUGACACCCUUGUUCUGAAGUGAACAUCUGGUGCUACAUCGUGGAGACAGAGAACAUCUGAGAACUUAUUUACACGUGGUACCAGAUCAGAAGCCCAAUUUUGAUGAUUGGCAGUGUGAGACACUUCUUGGAAGAAUAGAAAACAUCUGGUGCCACAUCGUGGAGAUAGAGAACAUCUGAGAACUCAUUUACAG